CUGCAGCUGCCCGACACGUCAGGAACUUUAUCCCCGGGGCCUUACGCAUUCCCUAGGGAGCUGUCCCUGCUCUGGGCCGUGGUCCGUUGCAUACGGCGCCCACCUACUUUGUAGGUUUCCCGGGAUCGCAAUUCCAACGGUCGGACGGCUGCGCG
rnacentral:sRNA from 1 species